rnacentral:rRNA from 1 species
GUGUCAGCAGCCGCGGUAAUACGAAGGGUGCAAGCGUUAAUCGGAAUUACUGGGCGUAAAGCGCGCGUAGGUGGUUCAGUAAGUUGGAAGUGAAAUCCCCGGGCUCAACCUGGGAACUGCUUUCAAAACUGCUGAGCUAGAGUACGGUAGAGGGUGGUGGAAUUUCCUGUGUAGCGGUGAAAUGCGAAGAUAUAGGAAGGAACACCAGUGGCGAAGGCGACCACCUGGACUGAUACUGACACUGAGGUGCGAAAGCGUGGGGAGCAAACAGGAUUAGAUACCCCAGUAGUCC